rnacentral:rRNA from 1 species
UACGAAGGGGGCUAGCGUUGCUCGGAAUUACUGGGCGUAAAGCGCGUGUAGGCGGCUCCUUAAGUCUGAUGUGAAAGCCCCGGGCUCAACCUGGGAAGUGCAUUGGAAACUGGGGAACUUGAAUACGGGAGAGGGUAGUGGAAUUCCUGGUGUAGGAGUGAAAUCCGUAGAUAUCAGGAGGAACACUGGUGGCGAAGGCGGCUACCUGGACCGAUAUUGACGCUGAGACGCGAAAGCGUGGGGAGCAAACAGG